rfam:Streptomycetaceae bacterium MP113-05 genomic scaffold scaffold00001, whole genome shotgun sequence.
GAGGGUAUGGCCCCUCGGAGUCGCCCUGCGGGGGGAGGCUCCAAACCACCGCAUGCUGCGUUGGCUGAAGACCGUCGUGGUGAGCGAUGCGGAAAAGGCGCCCGAGAGGCGUCAGGU